AGGACGAACGCUGGCGGCGUGCUUAACACAUGCAAGUCGAGCGGAAAGGCCCUUCGGGGUACUCGAGCGGCGAACGGGUGAGUAACACGUGAGCAACCUGCCCCUGGCUCUGGGAUAGCCUCCGGAAACGGGGAUUAAUACCGGACAUGACCCCUGACCGCAUGGUUGGGGGUGGAAAGUUUUUCGGCCAGGGUGGGGCUCGCGGCCUAUCAGCUUGUUGGGGGGGUGACGGCCCACCAAGGCGACGACGGGUAG
rnacentral:rRNA from 1 species